rnacentral:rRNA from 1 species
UGUGCCAGCAGCCGCGGUGAUACAGAGGGUGCAAGCGUUAAUCGGAAUUACUGGGCGUAAAGCGAGCGUAGGUGGCUUGAUAAGUCAGAUGUGAAAUCCCCGGGCUUAACCUGGGAACUGCAUCUGAUACUGUUAGGCUAGAAUAGGUGAGAGGAAGGUAGAAUUCCAGGUGUAGCGGUGAAAUGCGUAGAGAUCUGGAGGAAUACCGAUGGCGAAGGCAGCCUUCUGGCAUCAUAUUGACACUGAGGUUCGAAAGCGUGGGUAGCAAACAGGAUUAGAUACCCUGGUAGUCCACGCCGUAAACGAUGUCUACUAGUCGUUGGGUCCCUUGAGGACUUAGUGACGCAGCUAACGCAAUAAGUAGACCGCCUGGGGAGUACGGCCGCAAGGUUAAAACUCAAAUGAAUUGACGGGGGCCCGCACAAGCGGUGGAGCAUGUGGUUUAAUUCGAUGCAACGCGAAGAACCUUACCUGGUCUUGACAUAUCUAGAAUCCUGCAGAGAUGCGGGAGUGCCUUCGGGAAUUAGAAUACAGGUGCUGCAUGGCUGUCGUCAGCUCGUGUCGUGAGAUGUUGGGUUAAGUCCCGCAACGAGCGCAACCCUUGUCCUUAGUUACCAGCGGUUUGGCCGGGAACUCUAAGGAUACUGCCAGUGACAAACUGGAGGAAGGCGGGGACGACGUCAAGUCAUCAUGGCCCUUACGACCAGGGCUACACACGUGCUACAAUGGUAGGUACAGAGGGCAGCUACACAGCGAUGUGAUGCGAAUCUCAAAAAGCCUAUCGUAGUCCAGAUUGGAGUCUGCAACUCGACUCCAUGAAGUAGGAAUCGCUAGUAAUCGCGGAUCAGAAUGCCGCGGUGAAUACGUUCCCGGGCCUUGUACACACCGCCCGUCACACCAUGGGAGUUGAUUGCACCAGAAGUGGUUAGCCUAACCUUUUAGGAAGGCGAUCACCACGGUGUGGUUGAUGACUGGGGUGAAGUCGUAACAAGGUAACCGA